rnacentral:rRNA from 1 species
AAAAAGCUCGUAGUUGGAUCUGGGUCGUAUGGCUAUGUGCCGUCGCUCGUGAGCCUGGCUUGGUUACGACUGGGUCGAGUUCAUGGGUCGGUGUCGUGGCUGUGCAGCCUUUCUGCCGUGUCUGUCCUAGGACAGGUGCUGGCUUUAUCGGUGGGCUUGUCCCGUCGGUGGGUCGGCAUGCACUCAGAUGCCUUUGAACGGGUGUCGGGUGCGGACGGUGCGUUUACUUUGAACAAAUUUGAGUGCUCAAAGCACGCCUGUGCCUGAAAAGUUUUGCAUGGAAUAAUGGAAUAGGACUUCGGUUCUAUUUUGUUGGUUUUCGGAUCCGAAGUAAUGGUUAAGAGGGACAGACGGGGGCAUUUGUAUGGCGGUGUUAGAGGUGAAAUUCUUGGAUCGCCGCCAGACAAACUACAGCGAAAGCAUUUGCCAAGGAUGUUUUCAUUGAUCUGGAGCGAAAGUCAGAGGUUCGAAGACGAUCAGAUACCGUCCUAGUUCUGACCAUAAACGAUGCCAACUGACGAUCCGUGGGUGUUCUUUUAAUGACCCUGCGGGCAGUCCCCGGGAAACCUUUAAGUUUUUGGGCUCCGGGGGAAGUAUGGUUGCAAAGCUGAAACUUAAAGGAAUUGACGGAAGGGCACCACCAGGAGUGGAGCCUGCGGCUUAAUUCGACUCAACACGGGAAAACUCACCCGGCCCGGACACUGUGAGGAUUGACAGAUUG